rnacentral:rRNA from 1 species
UAGGGAAUCUUCCGCAAUGGGCGAAAGCCUGACGGAGCAACGCCGCGUGAGUGAUGAAGGUCUUCGGAUCGUAAAACUCUGUUAUUAGGGAAGAACAAAUGUGUAAGUAACUAUGCACGUCUUGACGGUACCUAAUCAGAAAGCCACGGCUAACUACGUGCCAGCAGCCGCGGUAAUACGUAGGUGGCAAGCGUUAUCCGGAAUUAUUGGGCGUAAAGCGCGCGUAGGCGGUUUUUUAAGUCUGAUGUGAAAGCCCACGGCUCAACCGUGGAGGGUCAUUGGAAACUGGAAAACGUGAGUGCAGAAGAGGAAAGUGGAAUUCCAUGUGUAGCGGUGAAAUGCGCAGAGACAUGGAGGAACACCAGUGGCGAAGGCGACUUUCUGGUCUGUAACUGACGCUGAUGUGCGAAAGCGUGGGGAUCAAACAGG